rnacentral:rRNA from 1 species
UACGUCGGGGGCAAGCGUUGUCCGGAUUUAUUGGGCGUAAAGCGCACGUAGGCGGAUCGCUAAGUCAGGGGUGAAAUCCUGGAGCUCAACUCCAGAACUGCCUUUGAUACUGGCAAUCUCGAGUCCGGGAGAGGUGAGUGGAACUGCGAGUGUAGAGGUGAAAUUCGUAGAUAUUCGCAAGAACACCAGUGGCGAAGGCGGCUCACUGGCCCGGUACUGACGCUGAGGUGCGAAAGCGUGGGGAGCAAACAGG